rnacentral:lncRNA from 1 species
AUGAGAGUUUUGGCUUUUCUAAAGUGUUGCGGAGCGCAGCAGGACGAGGAGAUUCCUGAGGAACUGUACGGGGAAGAGGGGGUGGAGAAAUGGGAAAGUCUUCAAGAAAGGAAAGAGAGACUGAAAAAUCUCACCUCACAAGACCUGAGAGAAGAAUUAGAAGCUUUGGGUGUGAAAGUAUGUGAAGACGGGGGAAGAAAGAAAUACAAGAGUGAGAAGAAAUUGAGGAGGGAAUAUAGAAAACUUCUGAUGAGAGAAAUGAGGACCAUUGAUUUGGAAAACUCUAAAAAGACCUUGGCUGUGAAGAAUAAAACAGAGAAGGAGGAGAAGGAGAGACAGGAGAAAAUGGAUGUGGUGGUGAAGGGUGGAGAAGAAGAAGAACUAUCUGAGCAGGAUGGAGGAAGUGAGGCGAGAGGAGAAAUGGAUGGGGAGAGAGAGGAACAGAUGGAUGUAAAUGAAAGGGAUGAUAAAGAAGAGGGGAAAGAGAAAAACAGUGAACUUGCAGAGGAGAGACGGGAGGAGGGGGAGAAUGAGAAGACAGGAAAAAAAACAAAGGAAGAGGAGGAAGUUGAAGGGAGUGUGAAAGAGGAGAAGGACAAGGAGAAGGCAAGGGGGACAAUAGGAGUGGAGGAUGGGGGUGAGAGAAAGGAUGAGAAGGUGGAGAAUGAGGAGGUGGAGAUGAGGAGAGAGGAAAAGGAAGAGAGAGAUGAGGAAAGGGGGGAGGAGGGCAUUGAUGAGAAGGUGAAAGACAACAUGGAGGUGAGGGUGGAGGAGAAAAAGGAGGAAAUGGAGGAGAUAAAGGAAGAGGAAGAGAUGGAGAACGAUGUCCUGAUGCAGAACAAAAAUGAGGAGCAGAAAGAUGAAAUGGAUGUGGAGGCAGAGGAGGAAAGAAUGCACCAGGUACAGAAGGACGUAAAUACUGAAGACAUAGAAAAGGAGGAGGCGCUGAUGGAGGAGGACAAGAAGGAUGAGAGAGUCAGAGAGGAUGAUAUGUCCGAGGAGGAAAGCAAGAAAGAAAAGGAAACAAGGAAGAAGAUGGUGGAGGAGAGAGAGAUGGAGGAAGAAAAGGAUGCAAUGGGUAAGGAUGAGGCGAAGGAUGUGAAUUGUCAAACAUGA